GUCAGUGAGUGCUCUCCAUUCUGGAGC
rnacentral:piRNA from 1 species